rnacentral:rRNA from 1 species
AGAGUUUGAUCCUGGCUCAGGAUGAACGCUAGCUACAGGCUUAACACAUGCAAGUCGAGGGGCAGCAUGGUCUUAGCUUGCUAAGGCCGAUGGCGACCGGCGCACGGGUGAGUAACACGUAUCCAACCUGCCGUCUACUCUUGGACAGCCUUCUGAAAGGAAGAUUAAUACAAGAUGGCAUCAUGAGUCCACAUGUUCACAUGAUUAAAGGUAUUCCGGUAGACGAUGGGGAUGCGUUCCAUUAGAUAGUAGGCGGGGUAACGGCCCACCUAGUCUUCGAUGGAUAGGGGUUCUGAGAGGAAGGUCCCCCACAUUGGAACUGAGACACGGUCCAAACUCCUACGGGAGGCAGCAGUGAGGAAUAUUGGUCAAUGGGCGAGAGCCUGAACCAGCCAAGUAGCGUGAAGGAUGACUGCCCUAUGGGUUGUAAACUUCUUUUAUAAAGGAAUAAAGUCGGGUAUGGAUACCCGUUUGCAUGUACUUUAUGAAUAAGGAUCGGCUAACUCCGUGCCAGCAGCCGCGGUAAUACGGAGGAUCCGAGCGUUAUCCGGAUUUAUUGGGUUUAAAGGGAGCGUAGAUGGAUGUUUAAGUCAGUUGUGAAAGUUUGCGGCUCAACCGUAAAAUUGCAGUUGAUACUGGAUAUCUUGAGUGCAGUUGAGGCAGGCGGAAUUCGUGGUGUAGCGGUGAAAUGCUUAGAUAUCACGAAGAACUCCGAUUGCGAAGGCAGCCUGCUAAGCUGCAACUGACAUUGAGGCUCGAAAGUGUGGGUAUCAAACAGGAUUAGAUACCCUGGUAGUCCACACGGUAAACGAUGAAUACUCGCUGUUUGCGAUAUACUGCAAGCGGCCAAGCGAAAGCGUUAAGUAUUCCACCUGGGGAGUACGCCGGCAACGGUGAAACUCAAAGGAAUUGACGGGGGCCCGCACAAGCGGAGGA